AGCAACGCCGCGUGGAGGAUUGAAGGUUUUCGGAAUUGUAAAACUCCUUUUGUUAGAGAAGAUAAUGACGGUAUCUAACGAAUAAGCACCGGCUAACUCCGUGCC
rnacentral:rRNA from 1 species